GUAGGGAAUAUUGCACAAUGGAGGAAACUCUGAUGCAGCGACGCCGCGUGAGUGAUGAAGGCCUUCGGGUCGUAAAACUCUGUGAUAAGGGAAGAUGAUGACGGUACCUUAUCAGAAAAGACCGGCUAACUUCGUGCCAGCAGCCGCGGUAAUACGAGGGGUCUAAGCGUUGUUCGGAAUCACUGGGCGUAAAGCGGGUAUAGGUGGCUAUACAAGUUGGAUGUGAAAGCCCCGGGCUCAACCCGGGAAGUGCAUCCAAAACUACGUAGCUUGAGUGCGGGAGAGAAAGGCAGAAUUCCUGGUGUAGUGGUGAAAUACGUAGAUAUCAGGAGGAACUCCGGUGGCGAAGGCGGCCUUUUGGCCCAGCACUGACACUCAGACCCGAAAGCGUGGGUAGCAAACAGGAUUAGAUACCCUAGUAGUCC
rnacentral:rRNA from 1 species